rnacentral:lncRNA from 12 species
CCUCAGCCUAGAGAAGGGGCUCAAACACCUGAGGGGCCGAACGCCCGUGAGGUCGGGGAGGACGGUGGCCACUGCCCCGCCGGGCCGAGCCACAGCAGAGCCCCCGGCGCCGAGCGGGAGCGGCCGGGGCGGGCCGGGCCUCAGGGGAGCGGCCGCGGCGGCCCCCCCCCCCCCCCCCCCCCCCCCCCCCCCCCCCCCCCCCCCCCCCCCCCCCCCGGCGGGGCCUGCGAGGGGAGCUGCGGGGGCUGCUCGGAGCCGGGAAAUGACGGGGGGAGCCACCAGAACUGCUGGGGAAACGCUGGUUCAGCCUAAGUUAGUAGAAAGGAAUUUUGUAUAACAAGUGAGAGAGAGAAGAUAGCUGGAGCUCUCAUCCUCUAUGAAUAUUUGCUUGCAGAAGCCAGGACGCUUAUUGUUUUCAAAAUGGCCAACCACAGUAAAUGGUAAAUAAACAUCUAAUGUCUUAC